AUUGAACGCUGGCGGCAUGCCUUACACAUGCAAGUCGAACGGUAACAGGUCUUCGGAUGCUGACGAGUGGCGAACGGGUGAGUAAUACAUCGGAACGUGCCUAGUGGUGGGGGAUAACUACUCGAAAGAGUGGCUAAUACCGCAUGAGAUCUACGGAUGAAAGCAGGGGAUCGCAAGACCUUGUGCUACUAGAGCGGCCGAUGGCAGAUUAGGUAGUUGGUGGGAUAAAAGCUUACCAAGCCGACGAUCUGUAGCUGGUCUGAGAGGACGAUCAGCCACACUGGGACUGAGACACGGCCCAGACUCCUACGGGAGGCAGCAGUGGGGAAUUUUGGAUAAUGGGCGAAAGCCUGAUCCAGCAAUGCCGCGUGCAGGAUGAAGGCCUACGGGUUGUAAACUGCUUUUGUACGGAACGAAAAGCCCUGGGUUAAUACCCUGGGGUCAUGACGGUACCGUAAGAAUAAGCACCGGCUAACUACGUGCCAGCCGCCGCCGUAA
rnacentral:rRNA from 1 species